CUGUUUUAACAUUUGUCUUGCGUUUAUCUAUAUUUCGAAACUCGCCAGUUUGUGAUAACCGAUAUCCUCAACAUUUUCCGCAGUCUCCGAUUCAUCACCACAGGCUUUUCUGUUUCUGAUUCUGACAUAGUAGCAAUGGACUGAGGGUAAGAACAAAGUUUAACAUAAAAAUUUGUUUUUGGUUUACUUCAAACAGAAAAAAUGUGCUUCCAUUCAAUGUGACACUUUCUCAUCAGCUUCUAAUGGUGUGAGCUUGCUAUAGCAUUGACAAUUCAGAUGUAUCAGAUUUGUA